CACACUUCCAGUGAGGUGCCGACCAAAAUCCACCGGUGGACCGAUAUGCUCGCUAUCUUGGGUUUUGCGUUUCAUUUCAGCGCCCAUGUCUUCACGUUAGAGCAGCCAUAUGGUCUGCGUGAGACGCGCGGUUCUCAGCAAAAUAGCUGUUUAUAGUCUCCCAUUAGACUAAUUCAAGUUAAAUGUGAAAUCAGCUGUAAAUGGAUGGUGGGCGAAAUGUUAACUGUGCUGGAUUUGGAUCACGUGUAUGGACUCACCUUUGACCACUCUCCACGCCAGGAGCAACGAGCUAGAAUUAAGAGCCAGCCGGUUUUAACCAAGAGGGAAGUAGUCAGGCGCAGGCUAAUCCAAUAUCACGGAGGCAUUCACGUUGGCCGUCAGUUGCACCUGGACAAGAUACAUUUCAAGUGGCCCCCUCUCCACCGAAGCUUUGUGGUUGUUCGCAUCGGUGUCUCCUUCGUCCUGGUGUUGGUGCCUUGCGGAGCGGGGACUGGCUCUAAAGUUCUCCUGGUGGUGGCCUCUCCUUGCCGGCAGACAGGCGUCUCCGGGUCCUGGGGCGGCUCCAGUGCAGCAGCCAUCCCACCGUCUUCUCACUGCGCCGACCACUGGGUGCCCACUCCAUCCACUGCUGCUGACUGUCACUCCUGGGCUAGGGGUGUGGAGAAGUGUCAUAGCAGGUGCCUUGGAGUGAUGCUUUUUAGAUGCUCCCCCAGCUCCAGCUAUUUUGGCCGCCCUCCCCAUACCUGAGCGUGGUCAUCUUUACAGCAACCGACACCAUGUAGCGAUCUCACAGAGUCAGCUUCCUCUUUUGGUGUUCUUUGUCAUUUAUUUAGCAUAGGCAAUUCAACACUGAUACUGACACCAGGAUGGCAUAGCAUUUAUAGGUGGGCACAACAACAGAGGGCAAGGGUGGCAGAGAUCACACAUGAGGGAAAAUGGCAUCAGGUUAUCAUAACAUUCACUGACUCUAAUCAUUAACAAAAUGACAGAUAAACUAAAACUAAAGAGAGUAAGCCACAUUUGAAAUGAAAACACUACACAUGAAUUAAACAAUUAAAUGCACUCAUCCACUCACUUGCACAGCAUUCUGCCACACACACUUCAAUCCGCACUUACCCGGAACAACAGACAAACACGGGCUCGCUACAUGUUAUGCUAUGUGUUUGUAUUCGCAUGAGGGGGGGAGAGUGAAAUCGGGUCUUGCAUGAAGGGUUACUUAUUUUGUUUUUAUACAGCAAUAAUGAUUUGUUUAAUUAUGUUUGCUUCACUGCUAUGUUGUGCACACAAAGUACACUUGAUUUGAAUGCUGUUGUUGCUUCUGAGACUUCUGUUUUUGGACUCAGUAACUGUUCAUACAUUUAACUUUAUUGUAAGCUGUGUAUAUAGUCUUAU
ensembl:lncRNA